UCGUAGUCCACCUUUUCGACAUGCUGAGCAAGCUUUUCUCUGAAUGUAUCUUUUGUUAAUGAAUUAACUGAAACUUGUUUUAGUAGGUCAGCAUUGUCAUCCCUGAAGCGUCUCUUUUUUGAUGCAUGCACAUUUGUCGUCUGUUUUAGGAGAUCAUAUAUAGCAGCGGUAGCACUAGGAAUAUACUUGCUCAAAUUCCGCUUCCUUUCCUGCUGCUCACGAGCAUGAAUCCUUUUUACAAUUUUUGAUUUGAGCUGAUUGCAGCAUUGCUUAAUAGCUGUCUUGACAGCAGAAGCAAUCUCACUUAUGUCAUCUCCAAUAUACUCCUUGCCAGUCCCUUUAAAGGGGAUUUUGGUGCUAACAAUGCUCACAAAGACACCAAUUUUGUCUUGUG
rnacentral:misc_RNA from 1 species